AUUGAACGCUGGCGGCAGGCCUAACACAUGCAAGUCGAACGAGUGGCGGACGGGUGAGUAAUGUGUGGGAAACUGCCCGAUGGAGGGGGAUAACUACUGGAAACGGUAGCUAAUACCGCAUACCCUCCGCUGUGCCCAGAUGGGAUUAGCUAGUUGGUGGGGUAACGGCUCACCAAGGCGACGAUCCCUAGCUGGUCUGCGAGGAUGACGAGCCACACUGGAAGUGAGACACGGUCCAGACGCCUACGCGAGGCAGCAGUGGGGAAUAUUGCACAAGGGGCGCAAGCCUGAUGCAGCCAUGCCGCGUGUAUGAAGAAGGCAUUAGGGUUGUAAAGUACUUGCAGCGGGGAGGCGUUACCCGGAGAAGAAGCACCGGCUAACAACGGGCCAGCAGCCGCGGUAAUAC
rnacentral:rRNA from 1 species